GUGUUCACUUGGGCAGCACAUAUACUACAACUGGAAUGAUACAGAGAAGAUUAGCAUGGCUCCUGUGCAAGGAUGAUAUGCAAAUUUAUAAAGGGUUCCAUAUUCUU
rfam:Erinaceus europaeus unplaced genomic scaffold scaffold00101, whole genome shotgun sequence